rnacentral:rRNA from 1 species
AUUGAACGCUGGCGGCAUGCCUUACACAUGCAAGUCGAACGGUAACGCGGGGCAACCUGGCGACGAGUGGCGAACGGGUGAGUAAAGUAUCGGAACGUGCCCAGUAGUGGGGAUAGCCCGGCGAAAGCCGGAUUAAUACCGCAUGAGACCUGAGGGUGAAAGCGGGGGAUCGCAAGACCUCGCGCUAUUGGAGCGGCCGAUAUGAGCUUAGGUAGUUGGUGGGGUAAAGGCCUACCAAGCCGACGAUCUGUAGCUGGUCUGAGAGGACGACCAGCCACACUGGGACUGAGACACGGCCCAGACUCCUACGGGAGGCAGCAGUGGGGAAUUUUGGACAAUGGGCGCAAGCCUGAUCCAGCCACGCCGCGUGUGGGAAGAAGGCCUUCGGGUUGUAAACCGCUUUUGUCAGGGAAGAAAUCUUCUGGGCUAAUACCUCGGGAGGAUGACGGUACCUGAAGGAUAAGCACCGGCUAACUACGUGCCAGCAGCCGCAGUAA